CACCCACCCCCUAAAGGCAACGAGUCCACAAAGUUAAAGGAAAGGACAGAAACUCAGAACUGAGCUGAGAGUGCAGCCUUAGAGCCCGUCUGCCAGACAGAGCCGCUUCUCUCUUGGCACAGUGCUGCACCGCACCGCAACGCACCACACCGUACCGCACACUGCUCACGGGGACUUUGCCAGGAGAUAACUUUACACCAGAGGCUUUUGUGUGUGUGUCGGUGCGUCUGUGUGUGUGUGUGAGAGAGAGAGAGAGACAGAGAGUGCGCCAUAGAAUGGAGGCACAGAUGGGAGGACUUGAUCGGUGGGAGGAGGAGGAGGAGGAGGAGAAGGAGGAGGGUGGUUGAGGAGCACAGCUGCACGGCACAGAAGCCGGUUCCCCUGCCUGCCUGCCUGACGGACGGACGGACGGACGGAGAGCCAGCCAGCCAGCGCUCCUCUGUUCUCCAAGGGGGCCUCGCUCACUCAUUCGCCCCCUCCCUCUCUCUCCCCCUCUCUCUCUCUCUCCUUCACUCCCUCCAGCAGAGCCAUGCUCAUGCCCUACCCGGAGGAGUCGAGCUUUAUGAGAAACUCGCGGAUAUGGAACCAAAAGACCAAGGGCAAGGAAAGGACUCUUCUCUUCCUCUGGCGCAGAAAGCCCCCAGUACCUACUUGAAAGGGAAUACGCCGUGGAAGAGCCAAGCGGCUUCACAGUCGCCAGAUUACGGAGUAAGUGGCUGGACGUUUCUGUUCUUUAUUAGUCCGUUAAAAGCUGUCGUUAUUUAGUGGCCUCCCCUGCCUGCACAGCUGUUUGGACGGCGGAGAGCUGAGGACUGCUGCUUAUUCUGUGUGUGACUCACUCUAGACUCAGAUUACAGCACUGUUGAAGCUGUUGUGGAGUUACACCAAAGUGGUGUGGAUAUUUCCUCUUUCUUUCAUCAUCUUUCAUAAAGUCGACAAUGUUAUGUUGUGUCACAGUUGUUGUUUAUAAAGAAGUUGUUUCUUUAAAAUAGUUAAAUAGUUGCAUAUACAUUUUGGUUGUGUUUUGUAUAAAUGAUUGACGGCCUGAGAAUAACUGGCAAAAGAUUUAACGAACCAUGCAACCGAGAAGCACAAGUCAUCUGUGUCUUUAAAGCAAGCAGCCACUUGUCAUAAACCCGUAGAUCCGA
rnacentral:lncRNA from 1 species